GACGAGUCUCACAAACGUUAUUCGGAAUUACUGGGCUUAAAGGGUGCGUAGGCGGUGGAGUAAGUCGGGUGUGAAAUACCAUAGCUUAACUAUGGAACUGCACUCGAUACUACUUUGCUAGAGUAAGACAGAGGUGAGUGGAACUGAGGGUGGAGCGGUGAAAUGGCGUUGAUAAUCCUCAGGAACACCGGUGGCGAAGGCGACUCACUGGGUCUUUACUGACGCUUGAUGCACGAAAGCUAGGGGUAGCAAACGGGA
rnacentral:rRNA from 1 species